rnacentral:rRNA from 1 species
UGUGUAGACGGUAUAUUAAGUCUGUUGUUAAAUCUCCCGGCUCAACCGGGAAUAUGCGGUGGAUACUGGUAUGCUAGAGGGUGGAAGAGAGAAGUGGAAUUCUCGGAGUAGCGGUAAAAUGCGUAGAUCUCGAGAGGAACACCAAUGGCGAAGGCAGCUUCUUGGUCCAUUUCUGACGUUGAAACACGAAAGCGUGGGGAGCAAACAGGAUUAGAUACCCUGGUAGUCCACGCUGUAAACGAUGAUCACUAGACGUCAGUUUCGCUUGCGAAAUUGGUGUCGUAGCUAACGCGUUAAGUGAUCCGCCUGGGGAUUACGGUCGCAAGACUAAA